GUAUAGGGGAGCCGGAGGGAAACCGAGUCUUAAUUGGGCGUUAAGUUGCAGGGUAUAGACCCGAAACCCGGUGAUCUAGCCAUGGGCAGGUUGAAGGUUGGGUAACACUAACUGGAGGACCGAACCGACUAAUGUUGAAAAAUUAGCGGAUGACCUGUGGCUGGGGGUGAAAGGCCAAUCAAACCGGGAGAUAGCUGGUUCUCCCCGAAAGCUAUUUAGGUAGCGCCUCGUGAAUUCAUCUCCGGGGGUAGAGCACUGUUUCGGCUAGGGGGCCAUCCCGGCUUACCAACCCGAUGCAAACUGCGAAUACCGGAGAAUGUUAUCACGGGAGACACACGGCGGGUGCUAACGUCCGUCGUGAAGAGGGAAACAACCCAGACCGCCAGCUAAGGUCCCAAAGUCAUGGUUAAGUGGGAAACGAUGUGGGAAGGCCCAGACAGCCAGGAUGUUGGCUUAGAAGCAGCCAUCAUUUAAAGAAAGCGUAAUAGCUCACUGGUCGAGUCGGCCUGCGCGGAAGAUGUAACGGGGCUAAACCAU
rnacentral:rRNA from 1 species